CAAGGAAGUUUAAGCUUGUCGCCAUAGUGACAGCGACAAAAAAAAAAAAAAAAAAAAACUCUUACUGCUGGCCUUUACAUCUCACUGCUUGUACUGGAGGGUGAGUUUCCUUCAUUUUGGACAAUUUGGGUACCUCAUCCCGAGUGAAAGAUGUCUGGUUCCGGUACUGUGAAGAAAUCUACCUCUGAAAAAAAUGCCAAAAAAGUUUCACUAGCACCCAGCUUCAGAUCUGUGAAUCCACUGAGUCUGAUUGAAGGUGACUACAUUGAGACUCUGCAGAAGCAAGUUAACCUUCUUGAACUUGAGACCUC